rnacentral:rRNA from 1 species
AGGCCGACAGGCGUAGUCGAUGGACAACGGGUUGAUAUUCCCGUACCGGCGAAGAACCGCCCAUACUGAACUGGGGAUACUAACCACCGGUUCCACCCGUUUCUCAUGCGCCACUUUGUGGUGUGUGGUUGUGGUGGGAUGCGUGGGACCUGAUCCAGGGAGGUAAGCGUGUUAACAGGUGUGACGCAGGAAGGUAGCCGAGCCAGGCGAUGGUAGUCCUGGUCUAAGCGUGUAGGGCGAGUCAUUGGUAAAUCCGUGGCUCAUAUAGCUUGAGACGUGAUGGGACCCCUUUGGUGGGGGAUUCGGUGAUCCUAUGCUGCCGAGAAAAGCAUCGACGUGAGGUUCUAGCCGCCCGUACCCCAAACCGACACAGGUGAUCAGGUAGAGAAUACUAAGGCGUUCGAGAGAAUCAUGGUUAAGGAACUCGGCAAAAUGCCCCCGUAACUUUGGGAUAAGGGGGACCUGAGCUGUCGUGCACCCGUGCGGUGUGGUGGCGGUGAGGGGCGCAGAGUCCAGGGGGAAACGACUGUUUACCAAAAACACAGGUCCGUGCGAAGUCGUAAGACGAUGUAUACGGACUGACUCCUGCCCGGUGCUGGAAGGUUAAGGGGAACUGUGAGUGUAUGCGUAGCGGUGAACUUAAGCCCCAGUAAACGGCGGUGGUAACUAUAACCAUCCUAAGGUAGCGAAAUUCCUUGUCGGGUAAGUUCCGACCUGCACGAAUGGAGUAACGACUUCCCCGCUGUCUCAACCAUGAACUCGGCGAAAUUGCAGUACGAGUAAAGAUGCUCGUUACGCGCAGCAGGACGGAAAGACCCCGGGACCUUUACUAUAGUUUGGUAUUGGUGAUUGGGACGGUUUGUGUAGGAUAGGUGGGAGACGUUGAUGCGGCCACGCUAGUGGUGGUGGAGUCGUUGGUGAAAUACCACUCUGAUUGUUCUGGUUAUCUCACUGUGGACCGUGAUCCGGUUCAAGGACAGUGCCUGAUGGGUAGUUUGACUGGGGCGGUCGCCUCCUAAAGGGUAACGGAGGCGCCCAAAGGUUCCCUCAGCCUGGUUGGUAAUCAGGUGGUGAGUGUAAGUGCACAAGGGGGCUUGACUGUGAGACUGACAGGUCGAG